CCGUAUCUGAUCUUGGUUAACAAGCGCUAGGUCCAUGAAGCCAACGUUGAAGUACGAUUCUCGAUGGCACCUCUGAAUUUGCAUCCUACAUAAAUUGAAAGGCAAAGUUAUUGGGGCCACACACACACAAAAUAAUGAUCUGAGCCAAAAUUAACAUCUAAUAAACACACACUUAUAGAACCCAGGCGCUGAUGAGAGAGACAUCAAGGGUAUCUUGAUGGUACACUUCAUAAAUAUCCUUGAAUUCCAACCACAGUAGUUUCUCACCUUCACCGAAAAAAUCAAUCGGUUUAACAAGAAGAGCGAACAUGAGCCUGUCAUUGGCCGACUACUCUAUGUACCACUGAUGGAAUUCAUACAUCUUAGUUGUGAGCUCCUGUACCAAUUCAGACCUGACUAGAGGCUUGCCUAACUCAAAGGGCCAUUUAGGUACAGUCUUUUCUGGAGGUGACGGUUCGUCUUGCCCUAAAACUUCAGCAAGCAAGAGACCUAUCUCUGCCAUAAACUUAACAACCUUAAUUUGUUGUUAAUUUGUUAUUCUAAAGGCAAAGAUACUAUUUGUACGUUGAGCUCUUGAUCCGCUUGCUGAUCUUACUGCCUGAGCUAGGGGAUAGUACAACUGGAUGACGACUCUCCUCAUUUUUCUUCUGCCAAGACUUAACUAACGAACGAUCGUAGUUCGAUAGUAAUGUCUUCUUGACUUCUUUUUUCAUGCCAAUAAAAAACUUAAAUUUGGCUAGAUCUAUUGGCUUAGGCUCCAUCUCCUCCGCUUUUUUUUCUGCAGUGAUUUUUCAAACCACUCCCUUACAUGUGCUUGCGAUGCCUCCUCCAAUUCCUCAGGAGUCAUAUCACCUUCUAGCUUCUUGAUAUGUUCAGACUUCUUUUUUUUCUGCCUCGGUUCUUUCGCCUUUGGUUGCCUUGGCUUGGAAGGCGGUGGUCGCGACUUCUUGAGAGAUGCUGCAUGUGGUUCCUUGCUCGCACCAAACUUUAGUCCCGACACUGUAGACGGUUGCUCCCGCCUGCAGGAUUCGAUGGUGCUGGAGAUGGUGAUCGAGCAGGAUGCAACGGUCUUGGUGGUGACGACAGUCCUGGAGGUGGAUGUGCUGGAGAUGAUGUUCUUGAGUUCUGAGGAGAUGGUGGCUGUGGGGGAUCUAUGGGAAGAAAUAUGCCUCCUGACCGGGGAUAAUGAUGAUGUAACGUUUGCGCCAUAGAAUGAUACCGUGAAGUGCAUCUCCUACUGCCCUAUCCUCGUCACCUCUUGGGAGGUCGAGCUCUAGGCUUUCAUAUUUACUAUCACAAAUUUACUCCACCCCAACGGUGGAGUAGCUAGGUGGAAUCGCCCUACCAUGGCUUGUCUGCCCUGAUAGGAUUGUUAAAGCACUUCCGUACACCACCUGUACAUAUAGGAGAAAUAAAGAAGUUAUUAAACUCCCGAGGCAUGGAUCAAUUGAGAUUAUUAUAUAAAUUAUAUAUAUGUAUACCUUAAUAGUGAGGUUGUCAAAUGGUCUGUACAGCUCACAUGAGGUGCGUUGAGUGAUGUCAUCCACAAGGUACCAUUGGUUGUCCUGCACAACCACGGGUAAGCUUGGCAUGUUCUCAUCAGGGACCCCUAUGGAAGCACAGCUGCUACGGCGUUGAGAAGGGCUGACAACGACAUUGGGAUCCGGCAGUGUUUCAGAUUGGGCCAUCUCAGUAACUGUCAGGGCCACUCGCCGAUUAAUUUCUCCUUGCAUUCUUACGUCUUGUUCAUGCACUUUAGCUUCUAUCAUGUGCCACCAUCUCUCCUCUUGCUUUUCUUUUCUUCUCUUCCGGCUUCUAUACGUGUCAAUGUCCCUACAGAAAGCAUACUUCCACGGAACCACCCCGAAGUCUUGGCAACGUCCUAGGUGUUCGGGAUUACCAAGCUCAAAGGUAGCUCAUCGUUCUCUAUCAGGCUUGAACUUUUCUGCUUUAGAAUCUUCAAUGUUUUUGAUAAACCUUAGGGCCUUCUCACGUAUUGUUUUGUUGAAAACAAGUGUCCCAUCCUCAGUGCUAAGGGUACCUCUGUGAGCGUAAUACCAAUUCUUUGAUCCAUCGGGCCAGUCAAUAGUUACUGGUAUAAUACCUCGAUCGAGUAGGUCUUGUUCCAUCUUUCUCCAUAUGGGAAUUGCACUCCUGUAACCACCUUGCCCUAGACGAAGAUGGUACUCCUUCUUCUUGGCAUUGCCUGAGUUGACAUGAACCUUGCUAAAAGUUCAAGAUUCAUUAAUUAGGAUAUAGUAAUAAUCAAUAUGAAGUUAUAGAUGAGGUAAAAUAAUGAAAAUGAUAUAUACCUUGCCGGAACCUUCCAUCACGGCAAUGUCUUGUUCCGCAUUGUGACACCCGUGCUCGGGCUCAUCAUUGCCAUCAUCGGACAUGUUGAGGAACAUAUCCGCUUGGCUACC
rnacentral:lncRNA from 1 species